GUGACUGCGUACCUUUUGUAUAAUGGGUCAGCGACUUAUAUUCUGUAGCAAGGUUAACCGAAUAGGGGAGCCGUAGGGAAACCGAGUCUUAACCGGGCGUUAAGUUGCAGGGUAUAGACCCGAAACCCGGUGAUCUAGCCAUGGGCAGGUUGAAGGUUGGGUAACACUAACUGGAGGACCGAACCGACUAAUGUUGAAAAAUUAGCGGAUGACCUGUGGCUGGGGGUGAAAGGCCAAUCAAACCGGGAGAUAGCUGGUUCUCCCCGAAAGCUAUUUAGGUAGCGCCUCGUGAAUUCAUCUCCGGGGGUAGAGCACUGUUUCGGCUAGGGGGCCAUCCCGGCUUACCAACCCGAUGCAAACUGCGAAUACCGGAGAAUGUUAUCACGGGAGACACACGGCGGGUGCUAACGUCCGUCGUGAAGAGGGAAACAACCCAGACCGCCAGCUAAGGUCCCAAAGUCAUGGUUAAGUGGGAAACGAUGUGGGAAGGCCCAGACAGCCAGGAUGUUGGCUUAGAAGCAGCCAUCAUUUAAAGAAAGCGUAAUAGCUCACUGGUCGAGUCGGCCUGCGCGGAAGAUGUAACGGGGCUAAACCAUGCACCGAAGCUGCGGCAGCGAACGUAUCACUUAAAGCGAUUCAGCGGGUUACGAUUGACGGAGCGAAGCGACGUCAAAGCGUAUACAAAGUCGAGUCGGUUUAAGGAUACGUUCGUUGGGUAGGGGAGCGUUCU
rnacentral:rRNA from 1 species